GAAUGGUGACUAGAUUUCUGCAC
rnacentral:piRNA from 1 species